AUGCAGUCGAGCGAGAAGUCCCUUCGGGGGCAAGUAGAGCGGCGGACGGGUGAGUAAUACGUGGAUAAUCUUCCCUCGAGCUUGGGAUAACCCUGCGAAAGUGGGGCUAAUACCGGAUAAGACCACAUGGCAUAUGCCACGGGGUAGAAGGUGGCUUAUAUUUAUAUGAGCUAUCACUUGAGGAUGAGUCCAUGGCCUAUCAGCUUGUUGGUGAGGUAAAAGCCCACCAAGGCUAUGACGGGUAGCUGGUCUGAGAGGACGACCAGCCACACUGGGACUGAGACACGGCCCAGACUCCUACGGGAGGCAGCAGUGGGGAAUAUUGGGCAAUGGGCGAAAGCCUGACCCAGCGACGCCGCGUGGGUGAUGAAGGCCUUCGGGUUGUAAAGCCCUUUCGUGCGGAAAGAACAGCCCUGUAGCGAAUAACUGCAGGGUUUGACGGUACCGCAGGAAGAAGCACCGGCUAACUCCGUGCCAGCAGCCGCGGUAAUACGGAGGGUGCAAGCGUUGUUCGGAAUUAUUGGGCGUAAAGGGCGCGUAGGUGGUUGUGAUAGUCAGAUGUGAAAUCCUUUGGCUUAACUGAAGAACUGCAUCUGAAACUUCAUAACUCGAGUACAGGAGAGGGAAACGGAAUUCCCGGUGUAGAGGUGAAAUUCGUAGAUAUCGGGAGGAACACCANUGGCGAAGGCGGUUUNCUGGCCCUGAUACUGACACUGAAGGCGCGAAA
rnacentral:rRNA from 1 species